AUUGAACGCUGGCGGCAUGCUUUACACAUGCAAGUCGAACGGCAGCGGGGGCUUCGGCCCGCCGGCGAGUGGCGAACGGGUGAGUAAUGCAUCGGAACGUGCCCAGUCGUGGGGGAUAACUACGCGAAAGCGUAGCUAAUACCGCAUACGUCCUGAGGGAGAAAGCGGGGGAUCUUCGGACCUCGCGCGAUUGGAGCGGCCGAUGUCGGAUUAGCUAGUUGGUGAGGUAAAGGCUCACCAAGGCGACGAUCCGUAGCUGGUCUGAGAGGAUGAUCAGCCACACUGGGACUGAGACACGGCCCAGACUCCUACGGGAGGCAGCAGUGGGGAAUUUUGGACAAUGGGGGAAACCCUGAUCCAGCCAUGCCGCGUGAGUGAAGAAGG
rnacentral:rRNA from 1 species